UGCAAUAUCUCAAUUCUCAACUUGCACCACUAGCAAUCCUGAUGAACCCUAACUGGGAAACAUUCUCCAAGUGCAAUCCAUUCAAAUCAAAUAAUGGAUCAAUUAACAUCCUGCAUUGUUGAAUAUGAUCAUAAUCCAUCAUUACAAAUAUGAAACCAGUGAUUCAUAAUCACCACACACACAUAUAGAUGGAAUUAAUGAACUUAUACAGCACUGUAUAUAUAUUAUCAACAUUACAACCUCUACUAUAUAAGUAGCUAGCUAGCACACUUCCUUAAUAAUAUAAAUACAAAUAUAAAAAGAACAUCAGGUAUUUUAAAGAGGAUUGAUGAUGUAUUACAUGAUGAUGAAGAUAGGUUUUCUCAUCCUCAUGGUAUGGUUGGUGCUGACUUCAGUAACCAGUGAUCGAGUCGACUCCGGGACACCGGAUAUCAUGCAUGUUGAUGCAAAACUGAGCAGAAAGGUAAACUCUGGUGUAAAUAAUGAUCAGAAAACUAUCAAAAAUGGUGUGGCAGCUGGGAAUUUCAAGGACAUCAAUGAUGCUGAGGGGUACUACCCCCGUGAUUCGAGCACUGGAUCACACCACAGAUAUUACGAUCCCCCGAUAGAUGGCCACUACUGAAGAUGUAAGCGACGUGAACAGGCUACCUGGAAUUAUAUAUGAACCUCCUCAAUCAUGCAACGGCUCCAUGUUCGGUGAAUUACUACUUUUGUAUGUUUCUGUUUGAUGCUGUGAUAAAUUAAGAUGCGAGAGCACAACUUAUUGUGUGUUUUUGUUAACGUGAAUUGUGAUGUUUUAUGUAUGUAAAAUUAAUAAAAUGUUUUUGUUAACGUGAA